UUUAAGGUAGUUAUUGUAACAUGAAUAAAUAGUGUUGCAAGGGGCACGAGGGGAAGAGAAACACCUCAUUACCCUUAGGAAAAGCAAUCUAUUGAGAUGCCCUCAGUAGCGGCGAGCGAACGGGGAUCAGCCCAUUAAGUUAUGUGUGUUUUAGUGGAACGCUCUGGGAAGUGCGAACGUAGAGGGUGAUAUACCCGUACACGAGAGGGCACACAUAAUGA
rnacentral:rRNA from 1 species